CCUACGGGUGGCAGCAGUGGGGAAUAUUGGACAAUGGGCGAAACCCUGAUCCAGCGACGCCGCGUGAGGGAAGAAGGAAUUCGGUACGUAAAGCUCUAUUAGCAGGGAAGAAAAUGACGGUACCUGAGUAAGAAGCCCCGGCUAACUACGUGCCAGCAGCCGCGGUAAUACGUAGGGGGCAAGCGUUAUCCGGAUUUACUGGGUGUAAAGGGAGGGUAGACGGGGUGGUAAGUCUGGAGUGAAAUGCCGGGGCUUAACUGCGGGACUGCGUUGGAAACUGGCGAACUAGAGUGCGGGAGGGGUAAGCGGAAUGCCUGGUGUAGCGGUGAAAUGCGUAGAUAUUAGGAGGAACACCGGUGGCGAAGGCGGCUUACUGGACCGUAACUGACGUUGAGGCUCGAAAGCGUGGGGAGCAAACAGGAUUAGAUACCCUGGUAGUC
rnacentral:rRNA from 1 species